rnacentral:rRNA from 1 species
AUGGGGCUGUUGUGCAGCCAUAUACUGAAGGUAAUGGACUUCAUUCGUGUGACAGAAAUCCCAAAGAAGCACAUUCUGAAAAGGUGGACACGAGAUGCGAGAGAUGUGCUUCCAGCCCACCUGAUGCAGUACCAGAGAGACAACGCUCAGGAAAACCCAUUUAGUUUCAGGCAUUUCAAUCUGUACAAGCAAGCCAUGGAGCUUGUACGCAUGGGAGACUCAAGUGUGGCAGCUUACGACCGCUUGACAUCACUAUUCAAUCACUGUGCAGCCGAGAUGAAGCUGUACACGGAUGUCAGAGAUGGCCUAGGUUUGGAGUACAGGUUAGCCGACAAUGGUACUGUUCAGAAAAUGUUACAAUCAGGAGGCGACGUAUGCAAUCCGUUCGAAGCUACACAAGUCGACGACGGAAACGAUGACAGCAACUCGUCUAAUGAGUCUGCAAAUAGGAUCGAUAACCUGCUGGCACCUGCCAGACGGAAGCAAGUUGGGAGGCCGACAAUGAGUAGGGAGAAGGCGCCAUACAAAGGUUUAAGUAAGAGAACUAGGUUCUGCGGGAUAUGUAGGCAGUAG